rnacentral:rRNA from 1 species
AUUGAACGCUGGCGGCAUGCUUUACACAUGCAAGUCGAACGGCAGCGGGGGCUUCGGCCUGCCGGCGAGUGGCGAACGGGUGAGUAAUGCAUCGGAACGUGCCCAGUCAUGGGGGAUAACUACGCGAAAGCGUAGCUAAUACCGCAUACGCCCUGAGGGGGAAAGCGGGGGAUCGCAAGACCUCGCGUGAUUGGAGCGGCCGAUGUCGGAUUAGCUAGUUGGUGGGGUAAAGGCCUACCAAGGCGACGAUCCGUAGCGGGUCUGAGAGGAUGAUCGCCACACUGGGACUGAGACACGGCCCAGACUCCUACGGGAGGCAGCAGUGGGGAAUUUUGGACAAUGGGGGCAACCCUGAUCCAGCCAUGCCGCGUGAGUGAAGAAGGCCUCGGGUU